rnacentral:pre_miRNA from 1 species
AGGAGGAACAACCCCAGUGGCGGGGCCAGCUCUGGAGCCCUGGAGUCAGCCCCCGCAGUAACUCCGGAGCUCUCCGUCUGCAGGGCCUGGAGGCUCCGGGGCGGG